rnacentral:rRNA from 1 species
AGCAGCCGCGGUAAUUCCAGCUCCAAUAGCGUAUAUUAAAGUUGCUGCAGUUAAAAAGCUCGUAGUUGAAUUUCGGGAUCGAUAUAUCGGUCGUGCCUCGGUACGUACUGGUAUUUUCGGUUUCUACCUUCUGACGAACCUUGAUGUCAUUAAUUUGGUGUCUUGGGGAAUCAGGACUGUUACUUUGAAAAAAUUAGAGUGUUUAAAGCAGGCCCACGCUUGAAUACAUUAGCAUGGAAUAAUGAAAUAGGACGUUUGAUUCUAUUUUGUUGGUUUCUAGGAUCGACGUAAUGAUUAAUAGGGAUAGUUGGGGGCAUUAGUAUUCAAUUGUCAGAGGUGAAAUUCUUGGAUUUAUUGAAGACUAACUACUGCGAAAGCAUUUGCCAAGGAUGUUUUCAUUAAUCAAGAACGAAAGUUAGGGGAUCGAAGACGAUCAGAUACCGUCGUAGU